GUCACUUAAUCCUCCCAUGUGUGAACUGGUAAGCAAGACACAAGAAUAUUCUUCAUUCCGCAAAAGAGCAUUUGAAAGAUCUCUAAUACACUAAUAACUCGAGACUAUAUAACACGUCUAGACAAAAAUUGAGCAUCCAUAGUUGUUAUACCCCAUUUUAAACUGGUUAAGGUAAGGUCCAACAUACAGGCGAUUUCGCGUUUGAUUAAACUUAAAGAGUCACCACCUAAUUAAUUAUGGUGAAUUAGGACACCUAAUAUUGAUUAAAAUAAUUUAAAGUAUAACUCUGUUAAUGGUCUACUUAACCUAAAGGUUCUAGGUAAGGGUUCAAUUAAUCUAAAGGGAAGUUUUUAAGGCAUCCUUUAAGAUCCAUUUUAAAUGGUUAACCGACCUGACUAUAUUUAAAUAAGGCUAAUUGUUGUAAUGUAAAAAAUGAUUAAUGAGAAAAAAUAGUAAGUUUAUUUGAAAAAAAAAAAGCAUGUCAUGAAAGAGAGCUAAUUUCGAAAGCACGAUUUGAAGACAUUCAAACGACAAAAAUCCCAAUGUUUCUUUUAAAAUGGAAGUUACUUUAGAAUAAAAUGAGUUGAGGCCAAAUAUGUCUUAUUUUGGGGAAGAAAAUUCACUUCUGCCACACAACUAGAUUAAGGAACUAAGUGAAACAAACGUGAUUAAUGAAAUACUCAGGUUUUGUAGACACCAUUGUUUAACAAUUUGUCCAAAAACUUAACCAAGUUUUGACAUAAUUCAGCAAAUACUUAUACAAGAAAUUAAAUAUUCGUCUGUUAUCCUAACAUUGUGAAAUGCAUAGUAAAUAGAUAAGCUAAACAGGAGAGUAGGUAGGAAAAGUUGUUAAGCCACUGAUCUUAAAAUCUUCAUAUCUAAGGGUUGCAUUCUAUAUAGUGAAAUAAGUAUUCCAUCAUUAGCUAGAGCUAAACUUGACGAAAACUAAUGUUAACAUACGCAACUAAGGCAGACUUCAUUCGUUUGGUAAGAAGGCAUAUUGUCACUAUAAAGAUCAAGAUAGGAACUAGUAAAAUAGCUGAAGUAAAACAUCAUGUAAUUUUCUAAAUUACACUAGACUGGAUAGUACAACAAUGCCAUGUUAGCUAGAAAACGCAGAGGACCUAACAGAUUCUUAGACAUUCAUAAAAAUUUGAGAAAGGAAGGGACCAUAUUGUCAUGUAAUUUCUAAUAAUCUUUAUACUACACCAACGAAUACAUAUUGCCAGGUUAACACUUUUGUAUUUACAAACAAGCACAAGAUUCCAAUUAGUAUAUGUAUAAUCAGAGGUAAACAAACAGAGGAAGAGUUCUCUUAAAAAUUUAAAAGCUGGUGCACUCCUAGCAUCUCUUGAUUAAAGAACUAACAAUGAUGAGUUAGUGGUUAUAUUGAGCAUAUCUCAAUAGAAUACAUAGCCUCCCUUAUUGAUCAAAAGUUAUCUAUUUGUGAAAGUAAUUCUUUAAACAAAGUUCUCACUUAAAGUUCCAACUUGAAAAAAAAGUUAUAAAGACUUUGGAUGAAAUGAUUUCCUCAUGACUACAUGAGCAUAAAGUAAAAGGUCUUCUAAAACAAUGGUUUCUAUGACAUUCUUUAGCACAGAUAGGAGAAAAAGUGCAAUGACAAGUCACAAAAAAAUCAGCCUCUCGUGUUAUUUCGCAACACGAAUCAGGGAACAAGUGAAUGGUUUUCAAGGUUUUAAAGAAAUAAUUCCGUGAUGCAACAUCUAUAUAUACGAGCAUGAUACCCCUCCUAACUAUGUUUCUAAAAUGAGUUUUAGCAAUUUAAAGAAAAUCUAAGACCCAAUUCUAUUCCAUGCUGUCAAUAUAUUGCACAAAAAUCCGAAACUUCAUGAAAACAUGACUUUUAAUAAGUCGAGAAUAACGUAUAACACUUCACAAACGAGUUUCAACAAAAUAAAACCCCUAAUACAUAAUUGGGAAAAGGCCAGUACCUCUACUUUGUUAAAUUGUUCACCGUUAUACUUAGUUCCCUACCGUUAGCAAAGUAGAUAAAAUCAUCCCUAACCCUAACAGAUCUCCAACGUGGUAAUGGACCCCUCAAUUAAUUUGCCAACUGGACAAAUAUCAACCCAAAUUAAAAGACCCAUGUCCGACCCAACUAUCACAAAUGAAUGGGUCAAAAUCUGGAAACAAAUCGACGAUGACAAUGAAGAGGUCGUCGAAUCAGUGCCGUCGGAGAAAUUGCAAGACUCGCUGCCUGACGAUUGCUCACUCCUCUUCGUUCCUCCACGGCUAAGCUGCCGCAGUCGCCGCCAUCGACCGCUCUCUUUCUCUUCCAUCAAAUCAUGAGAACGAGAGCUCUCUUCUUUUUCUUUUCUGUUUCAGGGACUCAAAUGGUUUAAUGUGCACACAUAAGCUAAUUUUUCUACAUAUUUUGGAUUUUAUUUGUGGUUGUUAUUGAUUGAUGCUUGACUAGAUUAGUAUGGUUGAGGAGACCCACAAAUAUUUGGAGGGGAAGGUUAGAAAGAGGGAUCCAUCCCCGAGUUAUCUCUUUCCAUGUUCUAUAUCUUUGUCCUGUGGAAACAAAUGAUUAUCAGGACAUGAAAAAAGGGAUAAGAAAAAGAAACAAGAUUUGUCUGUUUCAUUUUGUCAUGAAAAUCCUUUUUUUUUCUACUGAUGAAAUGUUAUUCAAUGUGUAUUUAGUUUUUAUUUUAUUAUGGAAUCUUCUAAAUUUUUCAAAUUGAUGUUAAGUUUUCUGCUCACAAUCUUUUUGAUAAAAUUUUCAGUUGGUUACCUUAUCAUGAAACAUGAUUUCCCAGCCAUAAAUGAAAAAGAAUAAAGAAGGAAGAACAAGAUCAAGAACUGGAAAAGAAGAAACGAGGAAGAAGAAAAGUUGUGGUUGAAUACUUGAAUUAAGAGAGGAGGUGACCCAUAAGGUGGCUGGAUAGUUGGGUCAAAGAAAUGGGCAUAUGUCUUUUAAAAUUUGGGUUGAUAUUUUUCUAGUUGGCAGAUUAAUUGAGGGUCCCAUUGCCACAUUGGACAUCUGUUAGAGUUAGGGAUAAUUUUAUCUACUUUGCUAACGGUAGGGAUAUAUUUAGACGGAAAGUAGAACGAGGUAUAAACUUGAACAAUUUACCAGAGUAGAGGUACAAAUCUGGCAUUUUUCCCUACAUAAUUCCUAAUACCAGA
rnacentral:lncRNA from 1 species